rnacentral:tRNA from 1 species
GGGGCCAUAGCUGAGUGGUAUAGAACCUGCUUGAUAUGUAGAAGGUCCUAGGUUUCAAUCCCCAGCAUCUCCA